rnacentral:rRNA from 1 species
ACUUAAGCAUAUCAAUAAGCGGAGGAAAAGAAACUAACAAGGAUUCCCUCAGUAACGGCGAGUGAAGAGGGAAGAGCUCAGUUUUGAAAUCUGGCAGUCAUUCACUGUCCGAGUUGUAAAUUGAAGAGAGUGUCAUCCACACUGGACCAUGUCUAAAUUGUAAUGAUCCACAGUCCUUUGAUGGAGUAUCAGAGAGGGUAAUAAUCCCGUCUUUAACGUGGACUCCCAGUGUUUAUGUGAUGCAUUCUCUCAGAGUCGAGUAGUUUGGGAAUGCUGCUCUAAUGGGAGGUAAACUCCUUCUAAAGCUAAAUAUUGGCGAGAGACCGAUAGCGAACAAGUACCGUGAGGGAAAGAUGAAAAGAACUCUGAAAAGAGAGUCAAACAGAACGUGAAAUUGCUGAAAGGGAAGCGUUUGGAGUCAGAUGCGUCUUCAUGGAAUAACGACUCAGUUAGCAGAGACUGAGGUCAGUGACUUGAAGAUGGGCCAGCACUCACGUAGACCAUUGAAAAAGGGGUCAUUGGAAUGUAGCUCAAUUUAUUGAGUGAUUAUAGCCUUGAUUCAUAUACAAUGUGUGUUAUGUGAGAUUGACAGCACGACUUCAGUGCUG